GUAAUGACCCGGAUUUUUAAAAAUAUUUUUAUUAGUAUUAAAAAUAUUUUUAUUAGUAUUAAAAAUGAUUUUUUUUUAAAGAAAGGAAUAAGAUUUAAUAUUUUAUUCCAGUUUAAUGAGUUUUCAAAGGUUUAUAUUUAAACCCCGGGUUAUUGUGUUAUUGUAUUUUCAAAACUGAUUUUCAUAUAUUGUUUUGAAAAUUCUAGAUGAUUAUUAUGUGAAUAUAUGUGUGAUGUGAGUAAGUGAUAUUGGUGGAUUUGUUGGCUAAUUAAUUAUGGUUAAUUAUGAGUAUUAUAUGAUUAAUAUAUGAAUUUUUGUGAAUUUUAUAUUAUCUGGUUUAUUGCGUUAACUGCUCAUAUGUGUUCGUAUUUGAGAGAUUUCAAUUUCUAUAUGCUCAGGAG
rnacentral:lncRNA from 1 species